rnacentral:rRNA from 1 species
AUGAAAGGAAAAUCCUGCCGAGGCAGUCGUAUUUGUUUUGGUAGAUAUGCUCUUCAAGCACUUGAACCCGCUUGGAUCACGGCGAGACAGAUAGAAGCAGGACGAAGAGCAAUAACACGAUAUGCACGUCGUGGUGGAAAAAUAUGGGUACAUAUAUUUCCCGAGAAACCGGUUACACUAAGACCCAUGGAAACACGUAUGGGCUCGGGAGGUACUUGUGGAUUCAAAAGCUCAAGAAAAGCAUCACCCUAUGCUGGUCAAAGAACAGCAGUAGAUGCUAUUCAUACAGUAGGUUUGCAACGAGCAGAAGUUAUGGUAAAGGGCGCUGGUAGUGGAAGAGAUGCCGCAUUACGAGCCGUUGCUAAAAGUGGUGUGCGAUUAAGUUGUAUACGCGAUGUAACACCUAUGCCGCAUAAUGGAUGUCGACCGCCUAAAAAAAGACGUCUGUAA